AACGCAUAUCGCGCUCGAGGUUUCGGCCGAGAGCAUGUCUGCCUCAGCGUCGUUCCAACCCCUCUCCCCUUUCACAAGAGGGAGGAUCUGGUCGUUUCGAUCAGGGCUGCCCGAUCGAAUCGGCCGAAAUGCAGAAGGCCCCCCUACUCAAAGAGGGCGACCGAGAGGUGGAUGCCUGCGGGCGGACCCGAUCGGCGCUCGAGUGGAGGACGGUCCUGCCAGUCGGAGAACACAUCGAGUUCUGACCUGAGUUCAGGCAAGGGCACCCGCUGAACUUAA
rnacentral:misc_RNA from 1 species